rnacentral:ncRNA from 1 species
AAUAUUAAACUGUAUUGGAGUAGUAACUUAAAUACUUUUCUAAAGAGAGCUAGUGGUGGUGCAAACUAGCGUUAAGAAUUAAGUGAACUUACCGUUAAUUAAUCGAAUUUAAAACAUCUCUUACUAUUAUAAAGUGCACAUGUAAAAUGUGAAUGAGGGUGGUACCGCGGCUAAAGAAAGUCGUCCCUGUC